rnacentral:rRNA from 1 species
AAAUUGAAGAGUUUGAUCAUGGCUCAGAUUGAACGCUGGCGGCAGGCCUAACACAUGCAAGUCGAACGGUAACAGGAAACAGCUUGCUGUUUCGCUGACGAGUGGCGGACGGGUGAGUAAUGUCUGGGAAACUGCCUGAUGGAGGGGGAUAACUACUGGAAACCGGUAGCUAAUACCGCAUAACGUCGCAAGACCAAAGAGGGGGACCUUCGGGCCUCUUGCCAUCGGAUGUGCCCAGAUGGGAUUAGCUUGUUGGUGGGGUAACGGCUCACCAAGGCGACGAUCCCUAGCUGGUCUGAGAGGAUGACCAGCCACACUGGAACUGAGACACGGUCCAGACUCCUACGGGAGGCAGCAGUGGGGAAUAUUGCACAAUGGGCGCAAGCCUGAUGCAGCCAUGCCGCGUGUAUGAAGAAGGCCUUCGGGUUGUAAAGUACUUUCAGCGGGGAGGAAGGGAGUAAAGUUAAUACCUUUGCUCAUUGACGUUACCCGCAGAAGAAGCACCGGCUAACUCCGUGCCAGCAGCCGCGGUAAUACGGAGGGUGCAAGCGUUAAUCGGAAUUACUGGGCGUAAAGCGCACGCAGGCGGUUUGUUAAGUCAGAUGUGAAAUCCCCGGGCUCAACCUGGGAACUGCAUCUGAUACUGGCAAGCUUGAGUCUCGUAGAGGGGGGUAGAAUUCCAGGUGUAGCGGUGAAAUGCGUAGAGAUCUGGAGGAAUACCGGUGGCGAAGGCGGCCCCCUGGACGAAGACUGACGCUCAGGUGCGAAAGCGUGGGGAGCAAACAGGAUUAGAUACCCUGGUAGUCCACGCCGUAAACGAUGUCGACUUGGAGGUUGUGCCCUUGAGGCGUGGCUUCCGGAGCUAACGCGUUAAGUCGACCGCCUGGGGAGUACGGCCGCAAGGUUAAAACUCAAAUGAAUUGACGGGGGCCCGCACAAGCGGUGGAGCAUGUGGUUUAAUUCGAUGCAACGCGAAGAACCUUACCUGGUCUUGACAUCCACGGAAGUUUUCAGAGAUGAGAAUGUGCCUUCGGGAACCGUGAGACAGGUGCUGCAUGGCUGUCGUCAGCUCGUGUUGUGAAAUGUUGGGUUAAGUCCCGCAACGAGCGCAACCCUUAUCCUUUGUUGCCAGCGGUCCGGCCGGGAACUCAAAGGAGACUGCCAGUGAUAAACUGGAGGAAGGUGGGGAUGACGUCAAGUCAUCAUGGCCCUUACGACCAGGGCUACACACGUGCUACAAUGGCGCAUACAAAGAGAAGCGACCUCGCGAGAGCAAGCGGACCUCAUAAAGUGCGUCGUAGUCCGGAUUGGAGUCUGCAACUCGACUCCAUGAAGUCGGAAUCGCUAGUAAUCGUGGAUCAGAAUGCCACGGUGAAUACGUUCCCGGGCCUUGUACACACCGCCCGUCACACCAUGGGAGUGGGUUGCAAAAGAAGUAGGUAGCUUAACCUUCGGGAGGGCGCUUACCACUUUGUGAUUCAUGACUGGGGUGAAGUCGUAACAAGGUAACCGUAGGGGAACCUGCGGUUGGAUCACCUCCUUACCUUAAAGAAGC